rnacentral:rRNA from 1 species
GUGGGGAAUAUUGGGCAAUGGGCGAAAGCCUGACCCAGCAACGCCGCGUGAAGGAAGAAGGUCUUCGGAUCGUAAACUUCUAUCCUUGGUGAAGAUAAUAACGGUAGCCGAGAAGGAAGCCCCGGCUAACUACGUGCCAGCAGCCGCGGUAAUACGUAGGUGGCAAGCGUUGUCCGGAUUUACUGGGUGUAAAGGGCGUGUAGGCGGGAUUACAAGUCAGAUGUGAAAUACCAAGGCUUAACCUUGGGGCUGCAUUUGAAACUGUAGUUCUUGAGUGAUGGAGAGGCAGGCGGAAUUCCUAGUGUAGCGGUGAAAUGCGUAGAUAUUAGGAAGAACACCAGUGGCGAAGGCGACUUUCUGGACGAAAACUGACGCUGAGGCGCGAAAGCCAGGGGAGCGAACGGGAUUAGAAACCCUGGUAGUCC